rnacentral:rRNA from 1 species
ACACUCCUGCGGGAGGCAGCAGUGGGGAAUUUUGGACAAUGGGCGAAAGCCUGAUCCAGCAAUGCCGCGUGCAGGAUGAAGGCCUUCGGGUUGUAAACUGCUUUUGUACGGAACGAAAAAGCUCCUUCUAAUACAGGGGGCCCAUGACGGUACCGUAAGAAUAAGCACCGGCUAACUACGUGCCAGCAGCCGCGGUAAUACGUAGGGUGCGAGCGUUAAUCGGAAUUACUGGGCGUAAAGCGUGCGCAGGCGGUUAUGUAAGACAGAUGUGAAAUCCCCGGGCUCAACCUGGGAACUGCAUUUGUGACUGCAUGGCUAGAGUACGGUAGAGGGGGAUGGAAUUCCGCGUGUAGCAGUGAAAUGCGUAGAUAUGCGGAGGAACACCGAUGGCGAAGGCAAUCCCCUGGACCUGUACUGACGCUCAUGCACGAAAGCGUGGGGAGCAAACAGGAUUAGAUACCCCAGUAGUCCCAU